AUUAUACGUUUACGGGUACCAUGAGGAUUUUUCAUGCAUUUAAACGGUAAGUAUAAUGUUUAUGGAUUAUUCAAUACAGUAUGAAAGUAAACUGUUCCGCUUUAAAUGGAAAUUAUGAAAGAAAAGUCGAUAAGAAAAUAUUAAAUUUCUACUUUCACUUUCAUUGUCGCUUUUUAAAUUGCCCAAAAAUGUUCUUUCUAUUAAUUUGUUUUUUCUUGUUUUUUGUUUGUAGAUACAUAACCCUAUAGCAAAUUAUUGUGUGAAAUGACAGCUUAUUUAAAGCAUCUGUGAUUAACUGGGCCUAAGUUUACCGAUUUUUCCUUUUAGGGUGACCUUUGACCUUAUAAUAGCUUAUAGUCUGUUCUAUGUAUUUUAGCUGUAGUCAGAACAGAAUGUAAUUGAGAUAAAAUGAAUUUUCAAAAUAAACUGUUGCAAAUUGUAGGAAAAGAAUAACAUAAUAUAUUUAUAAUUAUAAGUUAUUGAAAUAUUAUAAUUACCUCAUUUCAGACAGAAGUACAAGCGAACAGAUGACACAUUAAAGUGGCUGCAGAAGCUUGAAAAGUUAGAUAGAGCAGGGACAGUCAAAACUGUGGGAUAAUACGUCUAUGUAUUUUCUUUUUAAAGGCAACUUAUACAGGAUGGAAGGGUAUCUCAUACAAUGUUUUACAAUUUACAUGUAGUUUUAUCUCUCUUUAUGAUGUUGAAACAAGUAAACAAUUCAGUGACAUCUAAUUAACACUUGUAAACUAUUGACAGUUGAUAUAUAUAUAAGACAGCAUUUGAUAAAAUGCAAUUGCCUAUCAAUAUUAAAAAGAGCAAACAGUUGACAAUUAACAGGCAGGUCAUUCUUUUAAAUGACACCAUAAAUAAACUUUCAUAAUUUGUUUUUCUUCCAACUUCUGGAUUUAGACUGGAAGCCAUUCCAAACUAUGAACUGGUAAAUUACAUAAGGAGUCAUGUAAUGAUUAUGGAUGGGAUACAUUAUACUUUUAUGGACAAUAAUAAUUUGAAAUAAUGAUAUUUUUUUAGGUUAAGGUGAUUUUAUAAAGAUGGUGUUAUGGUUUUUGCAUGAUGAGUCUUUUCACAGAUUUUAUCAUUUAUAUAUUUCAGGGUGUCCAGCAUGUCUAGUCAGGUUGACAGAAGUGAAAGAUGGUCUGAUGGUACAAUGAUGUACAAAUGAUACUCUUUAACAACUUUAACAUGUCAAAGUGUAAAAUGUUCUGUGGAUUCAUAUGAUGAGAAUGCCAAUGUUGAUCUGUAUGACUUAAUUAAACACAGAUAUUUAUACCUUCAGAUAUAUACCUGUGAAAUCUUCAGUGUCACCGUUCAGCUAUUGUUCAAGAUCAGUGUCUGCAGCUUGCACAGUUUAGUAUAGAAGAGCCUUCUGAAUCAAUUUUGUUACAUAUUUGCUGUUAUUGUAGGACGCAUAUGUAGAGAGCAACAAGUCCUGUCCAACUGUGCAUGUAAAUGUGAUUCAGGAACUUUGAGAAUAUGUAAACAUUACACUGUUAUAAUUUACAAAAUACUGUGUCUUGUAGUGUAUCAGUACUGUUUUGUCUCAGUUUAUAGCACAGUAUGUUCACAAAUCAAACUUAAGACCAUAGUUAUCAGUAUUAUUAAAAUCAUUAAUUAUUUGUAUGGUGACAAAAUUUAAUUUCAUGCAAUACCACAGUAAAACGUUCGAUAAUUUUCGUUUUUAAAGUUGUAAGUUUAAAGUUGGCAUAAACUGUUUUUCUCCUUCAUUAAUCUAAAAAGUGAUUGGUCAUUAUAAUUGCAAUAUCAUUUUAGUGUGACAAAGUUUAUAUUGAACUGAAACGCUAAUGUAAAUUUUUGAACUAUUCAAUGCAUUUUCUUCAGUCUUAAAACAUAUGUUUAUCGUACAUGUCAUGGCCCAUAACUCCUCCAUAUUACUUGUGUUUUGUCCUUUUUCGUUUCACUGAAGGAUAUGUAGAAGUAUUGCACAUCCAUUUUUAGCAUCCUGAUUUUGUAAAGUGUUGUAUGUAAGGUUUUAUCUCGGAAUUAUGUCUCAUCUAAAGGUGGGGAGAGGUAUUGUUUAUGCCUUCUCGUCUAUCCGCAUUAAGCCUGUCUGGCUUUAAGAGGACAAGUUGCUGGCCAGAUUUUGAUAAAACUUCACAGGACUGAACAGUACCAAGCAUAGUGUUGUGCAUAUCGAUUGCACGUUUCGUUUCGAUGCACUAAAUUGCAGCCAGAGCUAAAAGUAGAAAAAUCUUGUCGGCUUUCACAGGUCAAAACUACUUAACAGAUUUUGAUGAAACUUCACAGGAGUGAUCAGUAUCAAAUAUAUUUUUGCAUAUCAGCGACACUUUCCAUUUUGCUGCACAAAAUAGCCGCCAUAGCAUAAAGGUAUACAUAGG